rnacentral:rRNA from 1 species
GAUGAACGCUGGCGGCGUGCCUAACACAUGCAAGUCGAACGGAGAUUACGGACGGUAGUUUUCGGAUGGAAGACUGUAAUUCUUAGUGGCGGACGGGUGAGUAACGCGUGGGCAACCUGCCCUAUACAGGGGGAUAGCAGCUGGAAACGGCUGGUAAGACCGCAUAAGUCGGCGAGACCGCAUGGUUUUGCCGGGAAAUGAGCAAUCAGGUAUAGGAUGGGCCCGCGUCCGAUUAGCCAGUUGGCAGGGUAAAAGCCUACCAAAGCAACGAUCGGUAGCCGGACUGAGAGGUCGGACGGCCACAUUGGGACUGAGACACGGCCCAAACUCCUACGGGAGGCAGCAGUGGGGGAUAUUGCACAAUGGAGGAAACUCUGAUGCAGCGACGCCGCGUGAGUGAAGAAGUAUUUCGGUAUGUAAAGCUCUAUCAGCAGGGAAGAUGAUGACGGUACCUGACGAAGAAGCCCCGGCUAACUACGUG